rnacentral:rRNA from 1 species
UACGGAGGAUGCGAGCGUUAUCCGGAUUUAUUGGGUUUAAAGGGUGCGUAGGCGGACUGUCAAGUCAGCGGUAAAAUUGAGAGGCUCAACCUCUUCCCGCCGUUGAAACUGGUGGUCUUGAGUGGAUGAGAAGUACGCGGAAUGCGUGGUGUAGCGGUGAAACGCAUAGAUAUCACGCAGAACUCCGAUUGCGAAGGCAGCGUACCGGCAUCCAACUGACGCUGAGGCACGAAAGCGUGGGGAUCAAACAGG